UGACCUCGGAUCAGGUAGGGAUACCCGCUGAACUUAAGCAUAUCAAUAAGCGGAGGAAAAGAAACCAACAGGGAUUACCCUAGUAACGGCGAG
rnacentral:ncRNA from 1 species